rnacentral:lncRNA from 1 species
AUGGACGGCAUUGCAUUGCCAUUCCCGUGGGGCGAGAGCUUGUCCAAUCCGGGUAUAUGAAAAUGCAGGGCGAAGUCACAAUUGAUGGUAUUGAAAUGAGUUAUUUUUGUGAAAUAACUCCCGGGAAGAGAGACGAACUGUGAUCAUGUUAACCUGAGUGAAGAUCGUAUUUGGAGGACGCUUAAUAGAAAUUCUACAGGCCUCUGACAUCAUAACGUCAACUGACCUUCUAGAUAUUCUGCGCCUACACUAGAAAGAAUAUAGAAUUUAAUUGCAUCAUAAGCCGAUCCAGUAUUGUACACUUUAUUGUCGCAAGAAAUCGUUCCCGUAGUGCAAGCAAAUAUCAUAUUGUCACACCUGACGUAAAGUCUACAAAGACCAUUAGUUUCUUUGCCUAUUCUAACGUUGUCAAUGUGAAUUAACUGUCAAAGAAAACUGCUUGCUUAUUUAUAAAGGCCUCCAAUGUUUGACUGUAUAUAUUUUUAUUUUAUGUUUUAUUAUUUGAAUGAAUUUUGCUGUUCCUUUUGUAAAUGUUUAAAAUAUUGAUUUAGAAAAUAAAUAUAAAUUAGUGUAUAAGCUAAUUUGUUGGAUACUUCGGAGAAAUUUGUACACUAGAAUAUGUUGCAAAGUUUAUUCCCUGAAACGUUUUCUUUGUACUGACCUCGUGUAAACAAAACAUUUUUUUUUGGUCUCACCAGAGUUUGAGUUUGUUACUUUAAUAUCAAUUUUACUAAAACUUCAAAAUUAAAUUCCAACUGACACUUACCAUCAAUACUGAAUAGUCACUUGAAAAUAAUUAUUAACUUAAAAUUAAGUUUCAAACAUGCUAUUUAGAUAUAACUGACAAAUAAAGUUUCAUUAUCAAACUCAGCUGAAACUGAAAAUGUUUUGUGAACAUGGGGCCAGGACAUUCUUCCGUUAUACUCAAAGACGAAAACUUCUACCGUCGAAAUUUAUUCGGUGCAUACUUUAGUUUGAACUGAUUUUUUGAUAUUUGUGAGCUAAUUUCCGUCUAAAGGUUGAACUUUCUUGAUUAAACUUAUUUUUGCUAUUGUUCACGUUAUAUUGCAUGGUUUUAAGUCAUGCCAAGUCAUGACAGUGUAGGUCAUUUGAUGUAUUUUUACACCUUUAAAUCCACAGUUAGCACCAACGGACUUUAUAUCAGGUCAAAAGUAUGUGUUUAAUUCUAAAGGUAAAUAACGCGUAGUUGAAAAAGAUUGACCCACAUAUUCCAAAAAAAAAAGAGAGACAAUUUUAAAAGAUCAGCAAAUUAUUGCUAUAUCUCUUAUGAUUUGGGUGAACGAUAAACCGUAAGCAAAACACAUGGAACAGACAAAACGACCAGACAUGUACUAUUCUACAAUUAUAAAAUGGACAGACCUUGUCCAUCAAGUAGUUCUUCGGGCAACUUCGACAAUUUCCGACGAUCAAAAUCUGGAUAACAUAUGAGGGACUAAACUAAAUU